UAGUUGAUGGCCUAUAUUCC
rnacentral:miRNA from 1 species